rnacentral:rRNA from 1 species
GACGAACGCUGGCGGCGUGCCUAAUACAUGCAAGUUGAGCGCUGAAGGUUGGUACUUGUACCAACUGGAUGAGCAGCGAACGGGUGAGUAACGCGUGGGGAAUCUGCCUUUGGGCGGGGGACAACAUUUGGAAACGAAUGCUAAUACCGCAUAAAAACUUUAAACACAAGUUUUAAGUUUGAAAGAUGCAAUUGCAUCACUCAAAGAUGAUCCCGCGUUGUAUUAGCUAGUUGGUGAGGUAAAGGCUCACCAAGGCGAUGAUACAUAGCCGACCUGAGAGGGUGAUCGGCCACAUUGGGACUGAGACACGGCCCAAACUCCUACGGGAGGCAGCAGUAGGGAAGCUUCGGCAAUGGACGAAAGUCUGACCGAGAAACGCCGCGUGAGUGAAGAAGGUUUUCGGAUCGUAAAACUCUGUUGGUAGAGAAGAACGUUGGUGAGAGUGGAAAGCUCAUCAAGUGACGGUAACUACCCAGAAAGGGACGGCUAACUACGUG